GAUUUUGUGAAAUUGACAGCAUUGCAGGCCAUUUCAUGUCCAUUUAUGGAGACAGAGGCUGCGGUACCAAGACAGAAAGGAUCUUUUCCAGGAUAGAACGAACGGGACACUCGUGAUAAAAGGAGGAGGAUAGGGGCUGCCUACUGACCCCAAGUAUGUUCAAGAGGGGUCAAGAGGACAAAGCGCUUUGAAAGUUCCUGGAUUUUUGAGAUGGUGGGACUGCAUGCUGCAAAAGAUCAAUUACAAGUUUACAACCCAG